GCCUAGUUAGCUUAGUUGGUAGUGCGUCUGCCUUGUAAGCCCUAGGCCGCGGGUUCGAUUCCCGCCCGGGGCG
rfam:Asian citrus Psyllid, Diaphorina citri - Florida Strain, whole genome shotgun sequence.